rnacentral:rRNA from 3 species
AGACCCGAAACCCGGUGAUCUAGCCAUGGGCAGGUUGAAGGUUGGGUAACACUAACUGGAGGACCGAACCGACUAAUGUUGAAAAAUUAGCGGAUGACCUGUGGCUGGGGGUGAAAGGCCAAUCAAACCGGGAGAUAGCUGGUUCUCCCCGAAAGCUAUUUAGGUAGCGCCUCGUGAAUUCAUCUCCGGGGGUAGAGCACUGUUUCGGCUAGGGGGCCAUCCCGGCUUACCAACCCGAUGCAAACUGCGAAUACCGGAGAAUGUUAUCACGGGAGACACACGGCGGGUGCUAACGUCCGUCGUGAAGAGGGAAACAACCCAGACCGCCAGCUAAGGUCCCAAAGUCAUAGUUAAGUGGGAAACGAUGUGGGAAGGCCCAGACAGCCAGGAUGUUGGCUUAGAAGCAGCCAUCAUUUAAAGAAAGCGUAAUAGCUCACUGGUCGAGUCGGCCUGCGCGGAAGAUGUAACGGGGCUAAACUAUGCACCGAAGCUGCGGCAGCGACACUAUGUGU